rnacentral:rRNA from 1 species
AGAGUUUGAUCCUGGCUCAGACGAACGCUGGCGGCGUGCCUAACAUGCAAGUCGAACGAGAAAUCGGGCGCUCAGGCAACUGAGUGCCGGAGAGUAAAGUGGCGCACAGGUGAGUAACGCGUGGGUAACCUACCCUUGAAUCUGGAAUAACCCCGCGAAAGCGGGACUAAUACCGGAUAUGGUUCCAUUAGCCCAGGCUUUUGGAAUUAAAGGUGACCUCUUCAUGAAAGUUGCCGUUCAGGGACGGGCCCGCGUACCAUUAGCUUGUUGGUAGGGUAAUGGCCUACCAAGGCGACGAUGGUUAGCUGGUCUGAGAGGAUGAUCAGUCACACUGGAACUGGAACACGGUCCAGACUCCUACGGGAGGCAGCAGUGAGGAAUUUUGCGCAAUGGGGGAAACCCUGACGCAGCAACGCCGGCGUGAGCGAAGAAGGCCUUCGGGUCGUAAAGCCUCUGUCAAGUGGGAAAAAAGUCUUUCGGUUAAUACCCGGAAAAUUUGAUGGUACCAUUGAAGAAGCACCGGCUAACUCCGUGCCAGCAGCCGCGGUAAUACGGAGGGUGCAAGCGUUGUUCGGAAUUACUGGGCGUAAAGGGCGUGCAGGCGGUUUGGCAAGUCAGAUGUGAAAGCCCUGGGCUUAACCCGGGAAGUGCAUUUGAAACUGCCUUUCUUGAGUAUGGGAGAGGAGAGUGGAAUUCCCAGUGUAGAGGUGAAAUUCGUAGAUAUUGGGAGGAACACCCGUGGCGAAGGCGACUCUCUGGACCAAUACUGACGCUGAGACGCGAAAGCGUGGGGAGCAAACAGGAUUAGAUACCCUGGUAGUCCACGCCGUAAACGAUGAGAACUAGGUGUAGCGGGUAUUGACCCCUGCUGUGCCGAAGUUAACGCAUUAAGUCUCCGCCUGAGAGACGGCCG